UGACGGAGGAGCUAGCGUUAUUCGGAAUUACUGGGCGUAAAGCGCACGUAGGCGGCUUUGUAAGUUAGAGGUGAAAGCCUGGAGCUCAACUCCAGAAUUGCCUUUAAGACUGCAUCGCUUGAAUCCAGGAGAGGUGAGUGGAAUUCCGAGUGUAGAGGUGAAAUUCGUAGAUAUUCGGAAGAACACCAGUGGCGAAGGCGGCUCACUGGACUGGUAUUGACGCUGAGGUGGCGAAAAGCGUGGGGAGCAAACAGG
rnacentral:rRNA from 1 species